GUAGGCAGCUAGCUCUCUGCAACUCUCACAUGGUCGCCCACUGAAGCUAAGCAGGGCUGCGCCCGGUCAGUACCUGGAUGGGAGACCACAUGGGAAAGCUAGGUUGCUGCCGGAA
rnacentral:rRNA from 1 species